UUUAACACAAUGAUCCAGCUCAUACUGGACAUUUUCGGGUCUCUGGGACCAGUCCUAGGGUUGAGAGACCGGUCCCCGAAGGUCCAAAAAUUCUGCACCUUCCAGACUUAGCCAAAUUUUCAGCAUUUUCAGCCUUCUUGUCCGUUUUCGCUCGUUUUCGCUCGUAUGACCUCCGAUUCGUUUCAAAUCGAACCAAGACUCA
rnacentral:lncRNA from 1 species